GGCCAUAUCACAUUUAAACACCGUUUCUCGUAUGAACACCGCAGUUAAGCAACAUUGAGCCUGGUCAGUACAUAGAUGGGUGACUGCUUGAA